rnacentral:rRNA from 1 species
ACAGCAGUAGCCGCGGUAAUACGAAGGGGGCUAGCGUUGUUCGGAAUAACUGGGCGUAAAGGGCGCGUAGGCGGAUCUUUAAGUCAGGGGUGAAAUCCCAAGGCCCAACCUUGGAACUGCCUUUGAUACUGGAGAUCUUGAGUCCGGGAGAGGUGAGUGGAACUGCGAGUGUAGAGGUGAAAUUCGUAGAUAUUCGGAAGAACACCAGUGGCGAAGGCGGCUCACUGGCUCGGUAUUGACGCUGAGGUGCGAAAGCGUGGGGAGCAAACAGGAUUAGAUACCCGCGUAGUCCCUGUCUCUUAUAC